UACAGAGGUGGCAAGCGUUGUUCGGAAUUACUGGGCGUAAAGGGCGCGUAGGCGGCCCACUAAGUCAGACGUGAAAUCCCCCGGCUUAACCUGGAAACUGCGUCUGAUACUGGAGGGCUUGAGUAUGGGAGAGGGAUGUAGAAUUCCAGGUGUAGCGGUGAAAUGCGUAGAUAUCUGGAGGAAUACCGGUGGCGAAGGCGGCAUCCUGGACCAUUACUGACGCUGAGGCGCGAAAGCUAGGGGAGCAAACGGG
rnacentral:rRNA from 1 species